UGUAUUGACCAAAUGGUUCAAUCAUUGUAAAUUUAUAGGAAGAAGUAAAUUGCGUACAUAUGAUGGAUUAAAACAUGUGCCAUUUAAUUCACAAUAAAUAUAUUUAGUUGGUUGUUGGUAGCCUCCAUUAAUUGUUGAAAUCUUGAAAAAGUAUUUGAUCACAUGAACGGAUGAACCUAUAUCAAUGAAAGUCAAUCAUCUAUCCCGUUACGUAAGUUUAUUACAUGUUAUGGAAAAAUCUUUACUAUUAAAGUUUUUCAAUCAUGUACAUUGAGAUUUAUUUGAAGAUGAUGAACUUUAUUGCUCUUUGUGACAACGAGAUGGAAACAAAGGAUCACAUUUUCAUUAAAAAUGUAGUUAUGAGCCUGUUUUGGGUAUUUAUGUCUAUACUAAAAAUUGAACUUUCGCCCAAACCACAAUUUAGUAUUUCUCGAAAACUGUAUUCAAACAUAGAAAAAUUUAACAUCAUCAAAAUUCUAUAAAAUGUAAAUGUAUUAUAUUUGAAAUGAAUAUAACUACUUAAUUUCAUUGUACUGAUUCCAUUCCCUCAAGUGUAUUGGACGACGUAAGGUACUAAGAUCGAGGUGAUUCCAUGCCGUCAAGUGUAUGGGUUGGUGAAAGGUACUGUCAUGGAGGUCUGAUGGUGUUAGAAGAGCAAUUUGUAUAGUCUAAUAGCAGCAGAGUAAAAUAACAUAUCACUUUCUAUGACUAAAUUAUUAUGGAUUUAAGCUUGUAAAAUAACAUAUCAGUUUCUAUUACAAAAUUAUUCUGGAUUUAAGCUUUGCGUUUUUAUUGGCAUAAAAGCUCCACUAAUGUAAAUUUUUUAAAUGAUAAUGAAAAUGCAAUUCAGACAUUAGUUAAGUUAUAAUAUUAAGGCCAUAAAUUAAAAUUUUUGAUUUUAUUGGAUAUUAGGGAUAAUGUAUUAAUAUGUAGAUUUUGAUCUGGAAACUAAUGUGCAUCUCAUAAUUCAGUGACAUAUCACUACAAACAAUAAAUGAAGACAUUACUGGCGAUGCUUUUAACUUUAGAUUUGAUCAUUAAUUUACUUUCCAUGAAUUUUAAUAUACAAUAAAUUGAUUAAUUUCAAAUUUCAAUUUUAGUUUCUAAUAAAUUGCAGUUUAAACCUUUUUUGUUAACAUUUUUUUAAAAUUAACCCGUUUAGAACACGAGUCUGACAACCAAAUAUGUAAUUUUAGUUUAUUGAUUUUUUGAAUGUAUAUUUAUUUCUAUAUUAUUAUUUUCACAUAAUUUUCACUUUAUUUAAAUUUCAAAUUCAACUAAAUUUUCCGAUCAAUCCUUCGUAUUUAACAUUAUCUUUUAAUCACCCCUUUUUGGUAUACGGGUCUUAAAUUUAUAACGUUAAUAUGGGCACAUGAUAAUAAUAAGAAAAAGUCAGUAAAUCAAAAAUUGGUAAAGAAUCAAUUUGAUUAUGGUUGGUAUAUUAUUUUCUCCACUAUUCAUUAACUUUAGAUGAUUCGCAUAUUAAAUUGGUUAUCAAUUUUUAUUUUUAUUUCUAACCUCCUUCGUUAUGUUUUAAAUAUAAACCACAUAAAAUGUAAAUACUAAUUUUGGUUCAAAUUCACCUAAAGAAGAAGUAUAAAGUUUGAAAUGUCAUAGGAUAUGGUAGGAAUAGACCUAACAAUCCAUGUUCACAUUGUAAGUCGUUUUUUAGGUAUCAAACAUGAAACAUGACUUUAAAAUUUCGUAUAUCACUAAAUUGGUCUCUAAAGACUCAAUAAAUAUAAAGUUUACCCGAAUUUGAGUCGUGUUUCACACGAAUUAAAUUUGAGUCUUAUGUGUUAAAACACAUAAUUCGUUUUUACAUGAAUACACAUGAAUAAAAAUUUCUAAAAAUCAUACAAAGAGAAGUUAUGUUGUAAUCACGUCGUUUAAGUAGUGUCGUCAAUCGAAUUGUCAUGUCUAUGUAUGAGAUGUGCUUAUGUGCACAUGCAUCUCAUGUCAAUACAUGUGCAUAUGCAUAGAUGUGCACAUAUGCUCACGAAUAUUUUUUGAUGAAAAAUAUCUUCUGAUACAAAAAUAAUUAUAUUGAAAUUUCAAGAAAUAUCCCAAAUCUGAUUAAUAAAUAUAAUAACUAGAAAAUUUUUCAUUUUUUUUUUCUAAAUUCUAGCAAUAUGUUAAAGAAAGUAUAAGCGAAAUAUACUAUGCCUGAAGGCAUUUAAAAUAUAUUAUUUAGUUUAGAAACAUUAAUGUUAACAUUUUUUUAAUUUUAGUGGUCAUUUUUUUAUAAUUACUUUUUAUAAUGAUAAAAAAACACAUUAUACAUUAUCUAAAGCUGAAAUGUCUAUUUUGGAGAUGGUAAUUUUUUGGUAACAACCCAAAAGUUUAGUCAUUCCUCUUGUGAUCAUUUUUGUAUUUUUAUAAAAUUAUACUUAUUAUUAAGUAUUAUUCAUCCCUAAACAUAUUGUUGUAAUAUGUAGACACUAAAAACUUUUUUAUUUUACUUCGAUGUCUUAAGCGACAUCUGCACAAACUUUAAGGAUGACAAUUCCAAGUACAUUGACAAACACUACCGGAAAUGCAAUGGCCCUUAGCGAGAAGUCCUCUACCACUUCUGCACAACACUUCACAUAUUAUGCCUUUGCAAAAAAAAAUAUUCCAAUUGGCUUGACACUGUUCGCCAUUGAUCAUAUGUGUACCUAUAUCAUAUUAGAGUAGAAUAACAUCAAUUAACAAAUCAAUUAAGAAUCAUAAGUAAACAAGAAUUUGUAGUUUUUGUGGUAAGUCGGCGUAAUGAAAUAUAGAUAAGAUACUACUAUAAUGAGCAAUUUUUAUUAUAUAUCGUAUAAAGAUUACCAACAAUGGCGAGUAUGAUCACAAGAGCAACAUAUAGUUUGAUGGACGCCAUACCUUUUAAUUUACUGAUACUCUAUACAAUGGAGGUGUAUUGACCAAAUGGUUCAAUCAUUGUAAAUUUAUAGGAAGAAGUAAAUUGCGUACAUAUGAUGGAUUAAAACAUGUGCCAUUUAAUUCACAAUAAAUAUAUUUAGUUGGUUGUUGGUAGCCUCCAUUAAUUGUUGAAAUCUUGAAAAAGUAUUUGAUCACAUGAACGGAUGAACCUAUAUCAAUGAAAGUCAAUCAUCUAUCCCGUUACGUAAGUUUAUUACAUGUUAUGGAAAAAUCUUUACUAUUAAAGUUUUUCAAUCAUGUACAUUGAGAUUUAUUUGAAGAUGAUGAACUUUAUUGCUCUUUGUGACAACGAGAUGGAAACAUAGGAUCACAUUUUCAUUAAAAAUAUAGUUAUGAGCCUGUUUUGGGUAUUUAUGUCUAUACUAAAGAUUGAACUUUCGCCCAAACCACAAUUUAGUAUUUCUCGAAAACUGUAUCAAACACAGANGAAAACUGUAUUCAAACAUAGAAAAAUUUAACAUCAUCAAAAUUCUAUAAAAUGUAAAUGUAUUAUAUUUGAAAUGAAUAUAACUACUUAAUUUCAUUGUACUGAUUCCAUUCCCUCAAGUGUAUUGGAUGACGUAAGGUACUAAGAUGGAGGUGAUUCCAUGCCCUCAAGUGUAUGGGUUGGUGAAGAGCAAUUUGUAUAGUCUAAUAGCAGCAGAGUAAACUAACAUAUCACUUUCUAUGACUAAAUUGUUAUGGAUUUAAGCUUGUAAAAUAACAUAUCACUUUCUAUUACUAAAUUAUUAUGGAUUUAAGUUUUGCGUUUUUAUUGGCAUAAAAGCUCCACUAAUGUAAACUUUUAAAAUGAUAAUGAAAAUGCAAUUCAGACAUUAGUUAAGUUAUAAUAUUAAGGCCAUAAAUUAAAUUUUUGAUUUUAUUGGAUAUUAAGGAUAAUGUAUUAAUAUGUAGAUUUUGAUCCGGAAACUAAUGUGCAUCUCAUAAUUCAGUGACAUAUCACUACAAACAAUAAAUGAAGACAUUACUGGCGAUGCUUUUAACUUUACAUUUGAUCAUUAAUUUAGUUUCCAUGAAUUUUAAUAUACAAUAAAUUUAUUAAUUUCAAAUUUCAAUUUUAGUUUCUAAUAAAUUGCAGUUUACACCUUUUUUGUUAACAUUUUUUUAAAAUUAACCCGUUUAGAACACGAGUCUGACAACCAAAUAUGUAAUUUUAGUUUAUUGAUUUUUUGAAUGUAUAUUUAUUUCUAUAUUAUUAUUUUCACAUAAUUUUCA
rnacentral:lncRNA from 1 species